CAGUAGCCACGGUAAUACGUAGGGUGCAAGCGUUAAUCGGACUUACUGGGCGUAAAGCGUGUGUAGGUGGUUGUUUAAGUCUGUCGUGAAAGCCCUGGGCUCAACCUGGGAAUUGCGAUGGAUACUGGGCGACUAGAGUGCGGUAGAGGAUAGUGGAAUUUCCGGUGUAGCAGUGAAAUGCGUAGAUAUAGGAAGGAACACCAGUGGCGAAGGCGACCACCUGGACUAAUACUGACACUGAGGUGCGAAAGCGUGGGGAGCAAACAGGAUUAGAUACCCGCGUAGUCCCUGUCUCUUAUAC
rnacentral:rRNA from 1 species